rnacentral:tRNA from 1 species
CGCGGGGUGGAGCAGUUUGGUAGCUCGUCGGGCUCAUAACCCGAAGGUCGGGGGUUCAAAUCCCUCCCCCGCUA